rnacentral:rRNA from 1 species
AAUUUUGGACAAUGGGGGAAACCCUGAUCCAGCCAUCCCGCGUGUAUGAUGAAGGCCUUCGGGUUGUAAAGUACUUUUGGCAGAUAAGAAAAGGUAUCUCCUAAUACGAUAUACUGCUGACGGUAUCUGCAGAAUAAUCUCCGGCUAACUACGUGCCAGCAGCCGCGGUAAUACGUAUGUCGUAAGCGUUAAUUGGAAUUACUGUGAGUAAAGCGUGUGUAGGCGGUUCGGAAAGAAAGAUGUGAAAUCCCAGGGCUCAACCUUGGAACUGCAUUUUUAACUGCCGAGCUAGAGUAUGUCAGAGGGGGGUAGAAUUCCACGUGUAGCAGUGAAAUGCGUAGAUAUGUGGAGGAAUACCGAUGGCGAAGGCAGCCCCCUGGGAUAAUACUGACGCUCAGACACGAAAGCGUGGGGAGCAAACAGG